ensembl:lncRNA
AUGUGGAGUCUGUCAAUAGGGAUUCGCCACCCCACUCGCCUAGGUAUGAGGAGAUCCGGCGCCCAAUCUCUGGAGUCGGAAGCACGCUCUGCGGUUCCUUCCACCCAGGGAGAGGGAUCGACACUCCGCCUCUCUUCCUCCGAGGAGGUCGAUGUGGAGUCUGUCGAUAGGGAUUCGCCACCCCACUCGCCUAGGUAUGAGGAGCUCUUGGAGGUGGUGACUCGUGCGGUGGCCAAGUUGAGUCUUGACUGGCCCGCCGAGAAAACAACCGAACCGCAGAAAAGCAAGCUCGAUGAACGCUUUCUGCGGGCGAGUCAGCCACCUCCUUGCCGGGGCCUUCCAUUCUUUCCCGAUCUACAUGAAGAGAUCGCUAGAUCGUGGAAGAGGCCAUUCUCAGCCCGCCUGUAUAUCCCCUCUUCAGAUUACUACGGCAAUGUAGUGGGGAUUACAGAGCGCGGCUACAGAGCGAUGCCCCGGGUGGAACAGACGCUCGCGAGCUAUCUGUCCCCCGGUACUGCAUCGUCUCUGAAGGCCCCGGCAUUGCCCUCCAAGCCGCUCAGAACAACGUCGGCUCUGGUGGGCAAAGGGUAUGCGGCAGCAGGUCAGGCUGGUGCGUGUCUGCACACCAUGGCGGUGUUACAGGCGUACCAGGCUGACCUGCUGAAGGAGCUUGAUGAGGGAGAGGAGAUCAAGUCCGAUGACAUCACUGAGCUCAGAAGGACCGCUGAUCUCUCCCUCCGCGCCACCAAGGAGACCGCCCGAGCGAUUGGGCGGUCCAUGGCAGCUAUGGUGGCCGCGGAGAGGCAUUUGUGGCUGACCCUGUCUGAAAUGAAAGAGCGGGACAAGGUCUGCCUUAUGGACGCCCCGAUCCAGCCUUCUGGCCUGUUCGGCGACGCAGUCAACACUGUCGUUGACAGGUUUCAGGAGGCUCGCAAACAGGCGGCGGCGUUCCAUAAAUU